rnacentral:rRNA from 1 species
UAAUAGCUCACUGGUCGAGUCGGCCUGCGCGGAAGAUGUAACGGGGCUAAACCAUGCACCGAAGCUGCGGCAGCGACGCUGAUGCGUUGUUGGGUAGGGGAGCGUUCUGUAAGCCUGCGAAGGUGUGCUGUGAGGCAUGCUGGAGGUAUCAGAAGUGCGAAUGCUGACAUAAGUAACGAUAAAGCGGGUGAAAAGCCCGCUCGCCGGAAGACCAAGGGUUCCUGUCCAACGUUAAUCGGGGCAGGGUGAGUCGACCCCUAAGGCGAGGCCGAAAGGCGUAGUCGAUGGGAAACAGGUUAAUAUUCCUGUACUUGGUGUUACUGCGAAGGGGGGACGGAGAAGGCUAUGUUGGCCGGGCGACGGUUGUCCCGGUUUAAGCGUGUAGGCUGGUUUUCCAGGCAAAUCCGGAAAAUCAAGGCUGAGGCGUGAUGACGAGGCACUACGGUGCUGAAGCAACAAAUGCCCUGCUUCCAGGAAAAGCCUCUAAGCAUCAGGUAACAUCAAAUCGUACCCCAAACCGACACAGGUGGUCAGGUAGAGAAUACCAAGGCGCUUGAGAGAACUCGGGUGAAGGAACUAGGCAAAAUGGUGCCGUAACUUCGGGAGAAGGCACGCUGAUAUGUAGGUGAAGUCCCUCGCGGAUGGAGCUGAAAUCAGUCGAAGAUACCAGCUGGCUGCAA